rnacentral:ribozyme from 14 species
UUCUCUUCUUCUUCUUUUCUUUUUUUUGCAGUCCACGCCCUAUCUCUUCCUCUUACUUUGGGAAAGUUUUUAGAAAGCAUUGAG